rnacentral:lncRNA from 1 species
ACACAAAACUACAUACUAGAUAUAUUUAUCUCGUCAAAUUUAAACAUGUAUUGAUUGGGAGGGAGCAAAUGGGAGGGCUGGAGAUGAUGAGGUGAUAAAAAGCGUCAUAAAAGCAUGCGUCUGACCAUAUCCUCCAGUCUUUGCAGUAGAAAGGAAAGUCAUCACCGACAGCUUCACAGGCCUAUAAGGAGCAACCUUCAGGACUGAUUUAUUCCGCAAAAUUCAUAUUUAUAUUUUGGUGGCACAGAAAACCUCAGCUUUACAACAAUGCAGCUCAAUUUACUCACUCUGACGCUUUGCUUACUUGGCACAGUAACUCUAUGUGGAGCACAGGAUAACACCACAACUGCAAACCCAGCACCAAGCGUUCCUCCUGACGUCAGUACCACUGAGCUCCCCGGUACCCUGCCAACAGGAUCACAACCCGUACCCGUCACAAACACAACUGACGCCACUGGCAGCACCAACGGGACCACCGCGGACCCAAAUACGCCGACACACGAGGCCAACACCACCUCGCCCGCCCCCACCGCGGAGGCGUCUGGGGGAGGUGGGCUGUCGUCGGGGGCUAUAGCUGGAAUCACCAUCGGCUCCAUCGCCGGGGUCGCUGCAGUGGGUGAGUGCGAUGCUCAGUCCGUAACCUUAGUAACGAGCUUGUUUUAACAGCUCGUUAAGAUAUAAUGCAAGGGUCAGAUUUGAUCCUGUACACAGACGAAAGAAAGGCGUUCUGCUCUGUUUUCAGGUGGAGGCAUCUUUGGAGCACUCAAGUACACGGGGAGGAUCUGAGACUGGUCCUCACCUAAAAGGAGUAAAGGACUAGAAACUAAAAGUCCACUUUUGUCUGAAAGGCCCAACUGAGAUUUAAACGUUAUGAACACAAUGUACAAGCUAAUGUCAGGGGCCAGGAGGAAGACAACACAGUGGAUUGGACUUUAUUCACCCAUGGGAUUAUGAUCUAUUACUGUAUGAAAUUUUGGUUUAUUAAGAACAGAACUAAAAUGGAAAGAUUUCCAUGAUUUUAAUUGUAAAGUGUAUCAAUGUCUAAUGUGUCUUCUGUUUGAUACUGUUCUGUCCAGUAACUUGGAUUGAUAUUAAAACUAAUUAACCAGAGAUUUUAAUAAGCUUUUACUUAUUAUAAGAUUAUUUUUCACCUUGUUUGGAACAGCUGUAGAGACAUUACGUUUUUCCCAAUGCUAACGCAUGUCGCUGAUAUGAGCAUUAUGACGUCACAAUAACUCAAGCUGUUUGAGUGUGAUGAGAUGUGAAUGUGUACGUGAGAACUGAGAAACGCCAGAUUAUGGGUGGUUGCAGCAUGUUGUGGUCUCAGAGUAAAAGACUUGACCUUAGAGUGCAGAGUACAAAUUUAGCAACAACGCAGUAUUUAAAGCAUUAACAAACGGGAUGCUGUCAACAACACACACAAACCUGAAAUCAAACUUGUGUCUGAUUUAAAUAAUGCAGAAAUGUAAACACUUGCAUAAACAUUUUUUCCUCCACUUCUCUAGAUCAGUCUCAUGUCACAGUGGGCUUCAGCCCCCGUCGGGCCUGUGGGGUCAUGGUAUGAUUAUUAACCACGCAUGCAUCAACAAUGUAUGGCUGCAACACAGCACAGCCGUCCAUGCAGGGAGUUUACGGCCGCAUGAUCACAAAGUGUUGGGUUUGUGCGAGAGCCGGGGGGUGUUACUGCAUGCUGGGGGCAGGGAGGGUCCAAUCUGGGAGCAUUUGCUAAGAUUAAAAUAAAAUGCUAUAUUUAAUAAGAGUUACA